rnacentral:rRNA from 1 species
UACGGAGGAAGCAAGCGUUAUCCGGAAUUAUUGGGCGUAAAGCGUCCGCAGGCGGCACCUCAAGUCUGCUGUCAAAGACCGGGGCUUAACCCCAGAAAGGCAGUGGAAACUGAAGUGCUAGAGUGCAGUAGGGGUAGAGGGAAUUCCCGGUGUAGCGGUGAAAUGCGUAGAGAUCGGGAAGAACAUCGGUGGCGAAGGCGGGAUCCUGGGCCAGUACUGACGCUGAGGAGCGAAAGCGUGGGGAGCAAACAGG